UCCUCAGUCAAACCCGGGCCAUCAGUCU
rnacentral:piRNA from 1 species